rnacentral:rRNA from 1 species
AGGGAACGCUGGCGGGAGGCCUAACAAAUGCAAGUCGAACGGCAGCACAGUAAGAGCUUGCGCUUACGGGUGGCGAGUGGGGGACGGGUGAGGGAUACAUCGGAAUCUACUUUUUCGUGGGGGAUAGGGUAGGGAAACUUACACUAAUACCGCAUACGACCUACGGGUGAGAGCAGGGGAUCUUCGGACCUUGCGCGAUUGAAUGAGCCGAUGUCGGAUUAGCUAGUGGGCGGGGUAAAGGCCCACCAAGGCGGCGAUCCGUAGCUGGUCUGAGAGGAUGAUCAGCCACACUGGAACUGAGACACGGUCCAGACGACUACGAGAGGGAGCAGUGGGGAAUAUUGGACAAUGGGCGCAAGCCUGACACAGCCAGAGCGCGUGGGUGGAGAAGGCCUUCGGGUUGUAAAGCCCUUUUGUUGGGAGAGAAAAGCAGCAGCUUAUGACCCCGCUUUUCUGACGGUACCCAAAGAAUAAGCACCGGCUAACUUCGUG